rnacentral:rRNA from 1 species
UACGUAGGGUGCAAGCGUUAAUCGGAAUUACUGGGCGUAAAGCGUGCGCAGGCGGUGAUGUAAGACAGGUGUGAAAUCCCCGGGCUUAACCUGGGAACUGCAUUUGUGACUGCAUCGCUGGAGUGCGGCAGAGGGGGAUGGAAUUCCGGCGUGUAGCAGUGAAAUGCGUAGAUAUGCGGAGGAACACCGAUGGCGAAGGCAAUCCCCUGGGCCUGCACUGACGCUCCAUGCACGAAAGCGU